CCUACGGGUGGCUGCAGUGAGGAAUAUUGGUCAAUGGGCGCAAGCCUGAACCAGCCAAGUCGCGUGAGGGAAGACGGCCCUACGGGUUGUAAACCUCUUUUGCCGGGGAGCAAGCCUGAGCACGUGUGCCCAGGCGGAGAGUACCCGGAGAAAAAGCAUCGGCUAACUCCGUGCCAGCAGCCGCGGUAAUACGGAGGAUGCGAGCGUUAUCCGGAUUUAUUGGGUUUAAAGGGAGCGUAGAUGGGUUGUUAAGUCAGUUGUGAAAGUUUGCGGCUCAACCGUAAAAUUGCAAUUGAUACUGGCAGCCUUGAGUACAGUUGAGGUAGGCGGAAUUCGUGGUGUAGCGGUGAAAUGCUUAGAUAUCACGAAGAACUCCGAUUGCGAAGGCAGCUUACUAAACUGCCACUGACAUUGAUGCUCGAAAGUGUGGGUAUCAAACAGGAUUAGAUACCCGUGUAGUC
rnacentral:rRNA from 1 species